GAUGAAGAACGUAGCGAAACGCGAUAGGUAAUGUGAAUUGCAGAAUUCCGUGAAUCAUCGAGUCUUUGAACGCACAUUGCGCCCCCUGGUAUUCCGGGGGGCAUGCCUGUCCGAGCGUCAUUGCUGCCCUCAAGCACGGCUUGUGUGUUGGGCCCCGUCCUCCGAUCCCGGGGGACGGGCCCGAAAGGCAGCGGCGGCACCGCGUCCGGUCCUCGAGCGUAUGGGGCUUUGUCACCCGCUCUGUAGGCCCGGCCGGCGCUUGCCGAUCAACCCAAAUUUUUAUCCAGGUUGACCUCGGAUCAGGUAGGGAUACCCGCUGAACUUAAGCAUAUCAAUAAGCGGAGGA
rnacentral:misc_RNA from 1 species